rnacentral:rRNA from 1 species
CCCAGGCUAAUACCGCAUACGUCCUACGGGAGAAAGGGGGCUCCGGCUCCCGCUAUUGGAUGAGCCUAUGUCGGAUUAGCUAGUUGGUGAGGUAAAGGCUCACCAAGGCAACGAUCCGUAGCUGGUCUGAGAGGAUGAUCAGCCACAUCGGGACUGAGACACGGCCCGAACUCCUACGGGAGGCAGCAGUGGGGAAAUAUUGGACAAUGGGCGCAAGCCUGAUCCAGCCUUGCCGUCUAUGUGAAGAAGGCCUUCGGGUUGUAAAGCACUUUCAGCGAGGAAGAACGCCUAGUGGUUAAUACCCAUUAGGAAAGACAUCACUCGCAGAAGAAGCACCGGCUAACUCCGUGCCAGCAGCCGCGGUAAUACGGAGGGUGCGAGCGUUAAUCGGAAUUACUGGGCGUAAAGCGCGCGUAGGUGGCUUGAUAAGCCGGUUGUGAAAGCCCCGGGCUCAACCUGGGAACGGCAUCCGGAACUGUCAAGCUAGAGUGCAGGAGAGGAAGGUAGAAUUCCCGGUGUAGCGGUGAAAUGCGUAGAGAUCGGGAGGAAUACCAGUGGCGAAGGCGGCCUUCUGGACUGACACUGACACUGAGGUGCGAAAGCGUGGGUAGCAAACAGGAUUAGAUACCCUGGUAGUCCACGCCGUAAACGAUGUCGACCAGCCGUUGGGUGCCUAGCGCACUUUGUGGCGAAGUUAACGCGAUAAGUCGACCGCCUGGGGAGUACGGCCGCAAGGUUAAAACUCAAAUGAAUUGACGGGGGCCCGCACAAGCGGUGGAGCAUGUGGUUUAAUUCGAUGCAACGCGAAGAACCUUACCUACUCUUGACAUCCUGCGAACUUGUGAGAGAUCACUUGGUGCCUUCGGGAACGCAGAGACAGGUGCUGCAUGGCUGUCGUCAGCUCGUGUUGUGAAAUGUUGGGUUAAGUCCCGUAACGAGCGCAACCCUUGUCCUUAUUUGCCAGCACGUAAUGGUGGGAACUCUAAGGAGACUGCCGGUGACAAACCGGAGGAAGGUGGGGACGACGUCAAGUCAUCAUGGCCCUUACGAGUAGGGCUACACACGUGCUACAAUGGCCGGUACAAAGGGUUGCCAACUCGCGAGAGUGAGCUAAUCCCGAAAAGCCGGUCUCAGUCCGGAUCGGAGUCUGCAACUCGACUCCGUGAAGUCGGAAUCGCUAGUAAUCGUAGAUCAGAAUGCUACGGUGAAUACGUUCCCGGGCCUUGUACACACCGCCCGUCA